UCUCGCUGCCCGCCCGCCCGUGCAUCAAUGGGCGCAGCCACUGCCACCUCCCGCCCUCGCUGUGCCGCGGGAACGCGGUGAUAUUCUGCUUUCCUUUUGCCCUUCCAACCGACCCCAAUCCUCUGAAGGUCAAUCGAGAUCAGAGAGAGAGAGAGAGAGAGAGUGAGUAGAAAAAUAUAUAUAUUUAAAAAACAAAAUAAAAGGGUGGCCACCAACUGUCGCCGCCGCCUCCCUCCCUCGCGCUCUCGCUCGCUCGCGCUCCACAACACUCUCCGCUCGCGUCGAUCGGAACGGACCGACCGACCGACCAACCAACCCCACUGGGCGGAAACGGGGACGGGCUCUGACCGACGGGCGCUCCGCCAAUCGGAGAGCGGGACGCCGCGCCCCCUCGUGUGUGUAAGGGGAGAUGUUGUCGUCAUGCGACGAAUCAGAGGCGCCGAGGGGCGGGACAUGAGGACUCAAGUUUGGUUGGCGCGGAACCUUGUCUUAAAAAGCAAGUAACGAUGUUGCUGGUUGGCGAGCGGAAUGCGAUGUGUUCAGAAGAUAUGAACAUGUAUAGGUCUACCAUGGUUAUUGAAGUUAACAGGGUCUUGGAUUCUUUGGCACAUUUGGUACCCGAAGCAAAAUCUGACCAAUUUUCCCUUUGUGAUGCAGGACAAGGCUCUACUAGUGGAGUCCAUGAGGAAUUCUGCAGCAAGCUCACAAGCUGGUCUAAAAUCAUAUUUUGGAUCAAGGUAUCAAAAGUAAUAAAGGCAAUUAAUUUAAUUACAA